rnacentral:rRNA from 1 species
UACGGAGGGGGCUAGCGUUGUUCGGAAUUACUGGGCGUAAAGGGUGCGUAGGCGGCGAUCCAAGUCAGGCGUGAAAGCCCCGGGCUCAACCUGGGAGGUGCGCUUGAUACUGGAUUGCUCGAGUCCGGGAGAGGAUAGCGGAAUUCCCAGUGUAGAGGUGAAAUUCGUAGAUAUUGGGAAGAACACCGGUGGCGAAGGCGGCUAUCUGGACCGGCACUGACGCUGAGGCACGACAGCGUGGGGAG